ACCAGAAUGGAGACUAACCACUUAGAAUUGUUUCUGUGUGAGUGCUUAACACAAUUUGAGGCAGACUGUACCACCUUCCAGAGGAAGUCCAGCUUCAAAGACCCAGCAGGGAAUGCAGGCACAUCAGAAGAAAGGCAUCUGCUGCUUCCACUCACCGGGUCUGGUCCCCAAAUGGUCAUAAAUUAUAAUUGUUUCCUCUUUGGAGCACGCUCUGUGUCCUGGCUCUGUGCUACACCAUCUUAGAAUAAAGGCAGGCCCCUCUUCCCUCAUGAUACAGCCAUCUCUGCAUCAAAACUGCUAAGCCAAACAUAUGAGCACCAUGUUGUGCUCUGAUCAUGGGGUUUGAGCACAAGUUCUUGAGUGUUCUUGAAAUUUACCAGGAUGGUGACCUUGUGGAGCCGACCUGCACUCAGAAAUUAUUGCCAAACAUGAAAUGAUAGUAGAUGUGUUUAUGAAGUCCGACAUGUUUUCCACGUCCUGCCUCUCUCUCUCUGCAAUCCAGAAAAAAAAAAAAGCCAAUCACUGCAAAACUAUGGAGAAGAAGGCUCUUCCUGAUUGAUCACAGAACCUGGAGAGCCAUAUGGUACUACUUCAGGUAAUGAGCACUGACAGGCCUUGGGACAGCAGCCAUAAAGUCUCUCGGAAGAAACAGCCAUUAUCACUGUGGUGGAGAAACGGAGGUGAUUAUUAGAGUGGAAGGACACUCCUGUGGAGACUACCCAGACUUUAGGAACUAAGUUUUGAGAACGACUGCAGCUUCCAGCAGAGACAUACCUAGAGCUCAACAUGGGGUACCAACUUCUCCAUACUGGUCAUUUUCCAACACCAGCUGGGCUGCUCUUGUCUUUUGUGUGCAACAACAUGAAGGUUAACUGCUGUAUGACCAGUACCUCUGAAAGUUGGUUUCCUUUCCAACUCUUCAGACUAGGUAGGUGUACUGGCUGGUUUUGUGUGUCAACUUGACACACUCUGGAGUUAUCACAAAGAAAGGAGGUUCAGUUGGGGAAAUGCCUCCAGGAGAUCCAGCUGUAAGGCAUUUUCUCAAUUAGUGAUCAAGGGGGGUGGACCCAGCCCAUUGUGGGUGGUGCCAUCCCUGGGCUGGUAGUCUUGGGUUCUGUAAGAGAGCGG
rnacentral:lncRNA from 1 species